rnacentral:lncRNA from 12 species
AAGUCAUAAAAAAAAAAAAACCAUCAGUUCGAGAGAGAGAGAAGGUUUAAAGAUGCACUAAGAUUAGAUGAACAAAGAAGAAGCUUUUUAUGACCAUUACUCACAAUUCCUCAUUAUAUAUAUAUAUAUAUAUAUAUAUAUAUAUAUAAAUCGCACAAAACUAAUGCAAUCUAUACACAACAUAUAUUCAAUACAGGAGGAGGUAGAAGACUGGCCUGUGGCCUCCACCAUAUGCUCUCUAACGUGACAGGAAACAAGAGCAGAACUUUCUUGGUAAUAAAGUCACGUUUGUCUCGUCUGUAGAUUUAACUCCUCUGGGAUUCACUUUGCAAUAAGCUUUGAAGUCAGAGUGAAUGUGGCAAAGGGAAAUCCCAACGCUCCAAACAGGAAGUCAUCGUCAACACCUGGCAUUACAAAUUCUGGCCCUCCCCUAAUUCAUCCUAGAACAUGCAGUUGCCCUCUGACGAGAUUGCCAUGGGACUGAAGAGGAGAAAUCCAGAGGCUAGGAGCAAUCUGAAGAGAGGUGAUGAAGGGAAAGAGGGGGAAAGAGAUGUGCAAGACAGCCUGAAAAGUGCAAACAGAGGAAGAGACAGUGCCACUCCUAUCCGGGACAGCUGCCACCAUGGGACAGAUGAGAACGACUGACAACGGAGUGAACUUCAGAGACACGACGGAAUGUCGCUUGAGAAAAUUAGCGCUGACUCAGCUCUUUUGGCCCAUCUAGAUGAGGAGCAGGACGUUACGGGCAUUUUAAUACUGACAAAUACAUACGUAAUGUGUGAUAGAUAGUGUACAGUCAGUUAGUUAUAAUGGCAAAAUAUUUUACAAUAAUGAUGACUGAUUGUACAUUAUGCCUCGUUACACAGUGACUCAGCAAAUACAUUUGCAGACAUUACAUGUUGAUUUUUUUUUUAAAUAUUUUAUCAUUUACAAAAUACUAAAUAAUAGUCAUUUAUAUGUUAUAGCUGCACU